GACGGGACCGCACAAGCGGUGGAUGAUGUGGAUUAAUUCGAUGCAACGCGAAAACCUUACCUACCCUUGACAUGUCCGGAAUCCUGCAGAGAUGCGGGAGUGCCCGAAAGGGAAUCGGAACACAGGUGCUGCAUGGCUGUCGUCAGCUCGUGUCGUGAGAUGUUGGGUUAAGUCCCGCAACGAGCGCAACCCUUAUCAUUAGUUGCUACGCAAGGGCACUCUAAUGAGACUGCCGGUGACAAACCGGAGGAAGGUGGGGAUGACGUCAAGUCCUCAUGGCCCUUAUGGGUAGGGCUUCACACGUCAUACAAUGGUCGGUACAGAGGGUUGCCAAGCCGCGAGGUGGAGCCAAUCCCUUAAAGCCGAUCGUAGUCCGGAUCGUAGUCUGCAACUCGACUACGUGAAGUCGGAAUCGCUAGUAAUCGCAGAUCAGCAUGUCACGGUGAAUACGUUCCCGGGUCUU
rnacentral:rRNA from 1 species